rnacentral:rRNA from 1 species
GGUUAAGCGACUAAGCGUACACGGUGGAUGCCCUGGCAGUCAGAGGCGAUGAAGGACGUGCUAAUCUGCGAAAAGCGUCGGUAAGGUGAUAUGAACCGUUAUAACCGGCGAUGUCCGAAUGGGGAAACCCAGUGCAAUUCGUUGCACUAUCGUUAACUGAAUACAUAGGUUAACGAGGCGAACCGGGGGAACUGAAACAUCUAAGUACCCCGAGGAAAAGAAAUCAACCGAGAUUCCCCCAGUAGCGGCGAGCGAACGGGGAGCAGCCCAGAGUCUGAAUCAGCUUGUGUGUUAGUGGAACGGUCUGGAAAGUCCGACGGUACAGGGUGAUAGUCCCGUACACCAAAAUGCACAGGCUGUGAACUCGAAGAGUAGGGCGGGACACGUGGUAUCCUGUCUGAAUAUGGGGGGACCAUCCUCCAAGGCUAAAUACUCCUGACUGACCGAUAGUGAACCAGUACCGUGAGGGAAAGGCGAAAAGAACCCCGGCGAGGGGAGUGAAAAAGAACCUGAAACCGUGUACGUACAAGCAGUGGGAGCACCUUCGGGUGUGACUGCGUACCUUUUGUAUAAUGGGUCAGCGACUUAUAUUCUGUAGCAAGGUUAACCGUAUAGGGGAGCCGCAGGGAAACCGAGUCUUAACUGGGCGUUAAGUUGCAGGGUAUAGACCCGAAACCCGGUGAUCUAGCCAUGGGCAGGUUGAAGGUUGGGUAACACUAACUGGAGGACCGAACCGACUAAUGUUGAAAAAUUAGCGGAUGACUUGUGGCUGGGGGUGAAAGGCCAAUCAAACCGGGAGAUAGCUGGUUCUCCCCGAAAGCUAUUUAGGUAGCGCCUCGUGAAUUCAUCUUCGGGGGUAGAGCACUGUUUCGGCUAGGGGGUCAUCCCGACUUACCAACCCGAUGCAAACUACGAAUACCGAAGAAUGUUAUCACGGGAGACACACGGCGGGUGCUAACGUCCGUCGUGAAGAGGGAAACAACCCAGACCGCCAGCUAAGGUCCCAAAGUCAUGGUUAAGUGGGAAACGAUGUGGGAAGGCACAGACAGCCAGGAUGUUGGCUUAGAAGCAGCCAUCAUUUAAAGAAAGCGUAAUAGCUCACUGGUCGAGUCGGCCUGCGCGGAAGAUGUAACGGGGCUAAACCAUGCACCGAAGCUGCGGCAGCGACACUAUGUGUUGUUGGGUAGGGGAGCGUUCUGUAAGCCUGCGAAGGUGUGCUGUGAGGCAUGCUGGAGGUAUCAGAAGUGCGAAUGCUGACAUAAGUAACGAUAAAGCGGGUGAAAAGCCCGCUCGCCGGAAGACCAAGGGUUCCUGUCCAACGUUAAUCGGGGCAGGGUGAGUCGACCCCUAAGGCGAGGCCGAAAGGCGUAGUCGAUGGGAAACAGGUUAAUAUUCCUGUACUUGGUGUUACUGCGAAGGGGGGACGGAGAAGGCUAUGUUAGCCGGGCGACGGUUGUCCCGGUUUAAGCAUGUAGGCUGGUUGUCCAGGCAAAUCCGGAUAAUCAAGGCUGAGGUGUGAUGACGAGGCACUACGGUGCUGAAGUAACAAAUGCCCUGCUUCCAGGAAAAGCCUCUAAGCAUCAGGUAACAUCAAAUCGUACCCCAAACCGACACAGGUGGUCAGGUAGAGAAUACCAAGGCGCUUGAGAGAACUCGGGUGAAGGAACUAGGCAAAAUGGUGCCGUAACUUCGGGAGAAGGCACGCUGGUGUGUAGGUGAAGCCCCUGCGGGUGGAGCUGAGACCAGUCGAAGAUACCAGCUGGCUGCAACUGUUUAUUAAAAACACAGCACUGUGCAAACACGAAAGUGGACGUAUACGGUGUGACGCCUGCCCGGUGCCGGAAGGUUAAUUGAUGGGGUUAUCCGUAAGGAGAAGCUCUUGAUCGAAGCCCCGGUAAACGGCGGCCGUAACUAUAACGGUCCUAAGGUAGCGAAAUUCCUUGUCGGGUAAGUUCCGACCUGCACGAAUGGCGUAAUGAUGGCCAGGCUGUCUCCACCCGAGACUCAGUGAAAUUGAACUCGCUGUGAAGAUGCAGUGUACCCGCGGCAAGACGGAAAGACCCCGUGAACCUUUACUAUAGCUUGACACUGAACAUUGAGCCUUGAUGUGUAGGAUAGGUGGGAGGCUUUGAAGCGUGGACGCCAGUCUGCGUGGAGCCAACCUUGAAAUACCACCCUUUAAUGUUUGAUGUUCUAACGUUGGCCCCUGACCGGGGUUGCGGACAGUGUCUGGUGGGUAGUUUGACUGGGGCGGUCUCCUCCCAAAGCGUAACGGAGGAGCACGAAGGUUAGCUAAUCCUGGUCGGACAUCAGGAGGUUAGUGCAAUGGCAUAAGCUAGCUUGACUGCGAGCGUGACGGCGCGAGCAGGUGCGAAAGCAGGUCAUAGUGAUCCGGUGGUUCUGAAUGGAAGGGCCAUCGCUCAACGGAUAAAAGGUACUCCGGGGAUAACAGGCUGAUACCGCCCAAGAGUUCAUAUCGACGGCGGUGUUUGGCACCUCGAUGUCGGCUCAUCACAUCCUGGGGCUGAAGUAGGUCCCAAGGGUAUGGCUGUUCGCCAUUUAAAGUGGUACGCGAGCUGGGUUUAGAACGUCGUGAGACAGUUCGGUCCCUAUCUGCCGUGGGCGCUGGAGAAUUGAGGGGGGCUGCUCCUAGUACGAGAGGACCGGAGUGGACGCAUCACUGGUGUUCGGGUUGUCAUGCCAAUGGCACUGCCCGGUAGCUAAAUGCGGAAGAGAUAAGUGCUGAAAGCAUCUAAGCACGAAACUUGCCCCGAGAUGAGUUCUCCCUGAGACUUUAAGUCUCCUGAAGGAACGUU